rnacentral:rRNA from 1 species
GGCGGACGGGUGAGUAACACGUAGGUAAUCUGCCUUAAGGUGGGGGACAACGUUGGGAAACUGACGCUAAUACCCCAUAUGUGGUGAGUUGAAAUACUCAUUAUGAAAGUUCCGGCGCCUUAAGAUGAGCCUGCGGCUGAUUAGUUAGUUGGUGAGGUAAUGGCUUACCAAGACUAUGAUCAGUAGCUGGUCUGAGAGGAUGAUCAGCCACAAUGGGACUGAGACACGGCCCAUACUCCUACGGGAGGCAGCAGUAGGGAAUUUUGCGCAAUGGGCGAAAGCCUGACGCAGCAACACCGCGUGAGUGAUGAAGCAUCUUGGUGUGUAAAACUCUGUCAGAGGGGACGAAUUUUGACGGUACCCUCAAAGGAAGCAUCGGCUAACUACGUGCCAGCAGCCGCGGUAAGACGUAGGAUGCAAGCGUUGUCCGGAAUUAUUGGGCGUAAAGAGUUCGUAGGCGGCAUGAAAAGUCUGGUGUUAAAGCCCGGAGCUCAACUCCGGUUCGGCAUUGGAUACUUUCAAGCUAGAGUACAGAAGAGGCAAAGGGAAUUCCUAGUGUAGCGGUGAAAUGCGUAGAUAUUAGGAGGAACACCGGUGGCGUAAGCGCUUUGCUGGGCUGUAACUGACGCUGAGGAACGAAAGCCAGGGGAGCAAAUGGGAUUAGAUACCCCAGUAGUCCUGGCCGUAAACGAUGGAUACUAGGUGUUGUGGGUAUCGACCCCCGCAGUGCUGUAGCUAACGCAAUAAGUAUCCCGCCUGUGGAGUACGCACGCAAGUGUGAAACUCAAAGGAAUUGACGGGGGCCCGCACAAG